rnacentral:tmRNA from 1 species
GGGGGCGUUUUGGUCUCGACAGGCGAAAUUCGUAUUUUCUAUCAUGCAUACCGUAGGCUCGUCUACGUUAAAACGGAAGUUAAAUAUAAAUGCUGAAAAUAAUUCAGAAUUAAAAGCUAUGCCUGUUAACUUCGGUGCAGCAUACGCUUACUAAUCGUCUCGUUAUAUUGAGGCAGUUCAAAUUAGUCUUGAUGGCUUUGUGAGAUUCUUUUGGGCUUUAAAAAAACAAUAGCCACACAUUGAUGACCUUUGUAGUUAAUGCGUUUUUGUAAAGGUGACAGAAUUGUAGUUUGCAAAUUUACUUGAUUUUGUUAGUAAGAAGAUUUGAUAUGUAUGUAGAUUGAUAAAAGAUACUUCGUUUGGACAUGGGUUCAACUCCCAUCGCUUCCACCA